GGGCCCGUAGCUCAGCGGUUAGAGCAGCGGACUCAUAAUCCGUUGGUCCUAGGUUCAAAUCCUAGCGGGCCCACCA
rnacentral:tRNA from 1 species